GGAGAGGUGCCGGAGCGGUCGAACGGGCUCGCCUGGAAAGCGGGUGUGCGGUAAUACCGUACCGAGGGUUCGAAUCCCUCCCUCUCCGCCA
rnacentral:tRNA from 1 species